ACGGGAGGCAGCAGUGGGGAAUAUUGCACAAUGGGGGAAACCCUGAUGCAGCGACGCCGCGUGAGUGAAGAGGUAUUUCGGUAUGUAAAGCUCUAUCAGCAGGGAAGAAAAUGACGGUACCUGACUAAGAAGCCCCGGCUAACUACGUGCCAGCAGCCGCGGUAAUACGUAGGGGGAAAGCGUUAUCCGGAUUUACUGGGUGUAAAGGGAGCGUAGACGGCGAUGCAAGUCUGAUGUGAAAGCCCGGGACUCAACCCCGGCACUGCAUUGGAAACUGCGUUGCUAGAGUGCAGGAGAGGUAAGUGGAAUUCCUAGUGUAGCGGUGAAAUGCGUAGAUAUUAGGAGGAACACCAGUGGCGAAGGCGGCUUACUGGACUGUAACUGACGUUGAGGCUCGAAAGCGUGGGGAGCAAACAGGAUUAGAUACCCUGGUA
rnacentral:rRNA from 1 species